rnacentral:rRNA from 1 species
GGAGUUUGGUCCGUGUCUCAGUACCAAUGUGGGGGACCUUCCUCUCAGAACCCCUACUGAUCGAUGGCUAGGUGGGCCGUUACCCCGCCUACUACCUAAUCAGACGCGUCCCCAGCCCAUACCGGAAUAAACCUUUCAUACAACUCAGAUGCCUUCAUCGUACUACAUAGAGUAUUAAUCCGACUUUCGCCGGGCUAUCCUCUUGUAUGGGGUAGGUUGGAUACGCGUUACUCACCCGUGCGCCGGUCGCCAUCUAUCAAAGCAAGCUUCGAUAAUGCUGCCCCUCGACUUGCAUGUGUUAAGCCUGUAGCUAGCGUUCAUC